GGAAGAUAGCAGCAUGGCCGCUUUUCCCCACAGGAGCAAGAGACUGGGCCUUGUAUCCACUCUUAAAUGGAGUAUAACAAUGGUCCAGUGUUCUUGACCCUCUCGUUGCACAGUCAAUGUGUUGAUAAAGGUUUGGCAUCACUUUCUUCAGGUUCGCCUUGUUGAAAUCGCCAGCAACCACUAACGCGGCUUGGGUGUUGCUAGCCUGGUAGCUGUUCAGUGCAUCGUGGAGCACUGUGAGAGCUGUUUUUGUACAUGCCUGGGGUGUAAUGUACACUGCCACGAUUACCACAGAUGUAAAUUCACGUGGAAGAUAGUGAGGCCGGCAUUUUAUUGCCAGGAAUUCCAUCAGGGGAGCAGAAGCGCCGCAGCACGUUGAUGUUCCCACUUUGACACCAGCCCUCAUUCACCAUGACGCCAACGCCACCUCCGAUCUCCUUCCUGGAUUCCUCGAAAGAUCUGUCAGACCGGUAAACAGAGAGAUUCUCCAUCAGUUUUAUGGAAUGGUCAUCUUUGGACGGAUUCAGCCAGGUUUCAGUGAACAGGAGGAUGUUACAGUUUCUUAUGUCUCGUUCACAUGCGCAACGCAAACGGAGAUCAUCCACUUUCUCAUCGUUCAAGGACUGGACAUUAGCAACCAGGAUACUUGGCAAGGAGGCUUGUGUACGCGGGCCCUCAGGGCAUGCUUUACCCCUCCGCGUUUACCUCUGGAUCUUCUCCAGGUUUGUUGAGCUGCGCUCUUCAGGAUCUCAGCCGGGAGCAAGCGAACCCAAACAUCGGAUGGACUUUGCAUGAGGCAGCCGCUGCCGUCCAGGGUGAGAGACUGGAUUACAACCUGGCCUGCUCCGACCAUUUGCGGCCACUGGGGUGGAAAGCCGGCGACACAACGACCAGAGUGGGUGCGGUAGCCUACACCACAUCAUACACACAAUUCCGGACCCGCGACUGACGGACUGGAGAGGGGGCGACUGGCGGCGAUGGGGACGAUCCUUCAGGAAUAACCUCUUUUAAUGACUAUUUAAAUAAAACAUUUCUUAAUUUA